rnacentral:lncRNA from 1 species
AAGUCCUGGUUGGUUCUCCCGACAGGCGGCUACGUGGUUCAAGCCCAGCCUAAACAAUAUCCAAACAUGGGCUCAUAUAUAGUCAGAGAAAUGGCACCUGCCAUAAUUUGUAACUAGGAAAUUUUAUAUGCUAGUUGGGGGCAGUUAAUUUGUAUCAGGCAUCAUUUUCUUUUUUAUUAAUGUAUCUUUGUAACGGUAUUACCAAAUUGCUUCAUCACUCAGUCGCUCGCCGCAGACCAUACCAAAUCAUCCACACUGGCC